rnacentral:rRNA from 1 species
CAGUCGCCGCGGUAAUACGGAGGGUGCAAGCGUUAAUCGGAAUUACUGGGCGUAAAGCGCACGCAGGCGGUUUGUUAAGUCAGAUGUGAAAUCCCCGAGCUUAACUUGGGAACCGCAUUUGAAACUGGCAAGCUAGAGUCUUGUAGAGGGGGGUAGAAUUCCAGGUGUAGCGGUGAAAUGCGUAGAGAUCUGGAGGAAUACCGGUGGCGAAGGCGGCCCCCUGGACAAAGACUGACGCUCAGGUGCGAAAGCGUGGGGAGUAAACAGGAUUAGAUACCCGCGUAGUCCCUGUCUCUUAUAC